UACGGAGGGUGCAAGCGUUGUUCGGAUUUAUUGGGCGUAAAGCGCGUGUAGGCGGUUUCUUAAGUCUGAUGUGAAAGCCCUGGGCUCAACCCAGGAAGUGCAUUGGAUACUGGGAGGCUUGAAUACGGGAGAGGGUAGUGGAAUUCCUAGUGUAGGAGUGAAAUCCGUAGAUAUUAGGAGGAACACCGGUGGCGAAGGCGGCUACCUGGACCGAUAUUGACGCUGAGACGCGAAAGCGUGGGGAGCAAACAGG
rnacentral:rRNA from 1 species